AAUUGUUGUCAAUAAUUAAAGAUUCAUGUUCAAAAAGAAAUACCACCAUGAGGGAAAGCAUACCAGUAGAAGAAAAGCUUCUUAUAACUUCAAGCAAAAUAGCAUUUGAAAUAAUUGGGUUAUAUCCGUAUCUUGGGAAUACGAGCUUCCAGGCGACAUCAAAGGGGAUUCAGUACUCUGCCGCUGAAUCCCAGAAGGCCCAGCUUGGGGCUCUUGUUGUGAAGGACUUUGGUUAAAGUCUGGAAGUCCGGAAGGUCCAGCAUGUGGAUUUAAAUAUUGCCAUUGAUGUAGUAUUCCAGAUUGGUGGUUUGGAGCCUGGGUGGGAAUUUGGUUAUACGGUAAUUGUUGUGAGUAUACAGAGGGGGCUGGUGACUGUAUGGAAUUAUAUUUAUUUAUGCUUUGCAUAAUGUCCAUUCUCGCAGCAAAUUUAAAGUGUGGGGGAAUGGAUUUCAUAAAAGGCACUAAUAAUAACAAAAAUAAUCUAUCGUCGUCUUCUUCAGAAUUUACUGUUUGUGCUUUUUGUUUUUGACGAAUACUAUGAUUAUCAAGGGCCUCCACAAGUUUUUUUCCAGUGUGUUUCCUUUUCUUUUUUUUGGCGACAUGAACAGUAGGAGAGUCAUCAUGUAUUGUAGCAGGACUUUCUGACGCAGAUUCACUCUGACUGUUUGGUGAUAGAGGAGCCCCAUCAUCCAUAGAUGUAUCUGUGGAGCGACGUUGGAUUACAUCUGACAAAAAGCCCAAUUGGUUGGCGUACAUAUAGGAACUUUUGACUUUUCGUCCUUGUCCUGACUUUUAUUUAUUUUCUUUAAGUUCCCUGACGUACCUAUCCCUUAUGUUUUUCCAUUUUUUUUGAAGCAAAAUGCCUGAAAAAAAGCUUUAUUUGAUAAGUACCCUUUUAUUUCAGGUACCUAGCUACUGGCAAUUCAUUUGUCGAUUUGCACUAUGCUUUUAGAAUUGGAAAAUCCACAGCAAGUUUAAUCACCCAAGAAGUUUGUGAAGCUAUAUGGACACAUGCUAGACAUAUAACUUUUCCGUCGUUAACUACUGAAAAAUGGCUCGAAAUAGCCGAAGGAUUUAAGAAACAUGCAGAUUUUCCACAUUGCAUAGGAGCCAUCGAUGGAAAACAUAUAAGGAUGAUAAAACCUGCUAAUAGCGGCUCUAUGUUCUACAACUAUAAAAAUUAUUUUUCAAUGGUA